rnacentral:lncRNA from 1 species
UUUUUUUUAAUAUAAAAAGACCAAUGAAAAAUUUAUUUAUAAAUUUUUCACGAUGGGCUACAAGUCUAUAUCGUACGCUCAGGAGUGUGCCACAGACUUCAUACAGAUAGAAGAGACCAACCAGGACCCAUCUGAAGCUUCAACAUAGGCCCAGUAAGUUUUAACAUUAAUUAACAUAAUUAAAAAGGCAUUUGCAUGUAGAAAAACCAUACAGAACUCCUUUUGAAGUAAUCUGUGCUUGUCCCAGUGUCUGCCACUCUCACGACAUUAUCACUAUUCCUCCCACACUGGUUCAUAAAAGCGCAGAAGACCAAAGAAUAUGGCCAGGCGGCACAAAGGGCUCCACCCACCUGUGUCCUCAAGUGCUCCCCAUUUUUGCACGCAGGGUCAGCAGCACUUCUACGAAGGGGAAACCUCAUUUAAAUUUGAAUAAUUCAGCCUCCCUUUUAUUUCCCAGGAUCAAAACAAGAAGGGGUGUGGAGAUGCAUAGAAAAUUGGAACCACAGAAACCAGGAAGUCUCCUUUCAGGGACAGCCAGUGACGCUCCAACACCUCCUCCAGCCCUGGCCCUUGGCACAGCCCCCCCCCCCCCCCCNNUGGCUGGAUCCUCAGAUCAUAAUAGGGCCUUGGAGCAGGGUGUGAGGGUACGGAUGGGGACUGGGGAGGCACAAAGAGCAGAGCAGCCCUUCCACUCAUUCAGCAAUAGUGAGAGAUUCACAGUCUUUAUAGGAAUUUUAUAAAAAUAUAAAUAUGGGUACACAACAGCCUUCACAACGCUGGAUACAACGCCCUUUAAAAUUGGGUUCAUAACCAAGAUUCAAAAAAUACACCUAAAACUUGGCUUAAAAUAUGUUAAUAUUUUAUAUUCUGUCAUAAAUGUUAUGACAUUUAAUCGUGGCAAAUUCAUUUACUUUUUAAAAAAAGUGUGCAACCGACUAUUAACUAUAAUAGAAGUCACUAGAAAGGGGUACCAUGCUCUCAGAAUCCCCACGUCCCAGCCAGGCGGGCUUCAAGAUCCCUUUGGAACUUUGCUAAACCAGCCGGUGUUGGAAAUGGUGGCCUCUCACGGGAGGGGAAAGGGAGACAGAUCCUAGGCUCUCUAAACUCAGAAUCCAGGGAGAGGAACAGAGGAAUGAGGUGUGGAAGAUUAGGGACUCGGUGGGGGAGGGGCUAGCAAUGGGAAAACCAUAGGGCUAGGCGGUAUUUUCAGUGCAACCAAAAAAUGGUAGACUCAAGUUUUUAGUUGUAAGGAAAAAAAAAUGCAUCUUUCUCCCAUAACCACGCACAGUAUUUCCAAACAAAAAACUCAGGCGCGCAAAUUUCACCCACAAAUAUACACACACGUGAUAAAUAGUUGAGGACAUCAGGAACCCGGAGCGUCCCCUUCCCUUCCUAAGUGCGAGGGCGCGCAGAUGGUGGAGCCCCGUAAUGGUUGCUUGGCGGCCGCCAGCGGCGGGAGCCGCACUGUGAGCGGCCGGGUCUCACGAGCGGCGGAUGUCGGCUCCGAACUUGACCAGCAGCUUCACCAGCUCCAGGUUGCCGUCGAUGACUGACUGGUGUAGUGCUGUCUGGCCCUCCGGCCCGAACGAGUUCACGUUGAAUUCGCAGUUAGUCAUGUUCUGCAGUAGCGACUGCAGCUCCUGCGUGUUGCCCUUGCGCACCGCUUCCUGGAAGAUGCGCUGCGUCUGUGGCGCCGAGCAGGUGGACAGCUCGGCUUGGCUCAUGUUGCCGCAGAGCUAGGGCCGCGGGCCGCGCCCCGGCUUAGCGCGGGCGGCGGCUGCAGUGCGGGCCCCGGGCUGUCUCGGGGCGUGUCUCGAGGUACGCCUCGGCGCAUGGAGGGCGCUGCGCCCUCGGGCCCCGCACGCCGCCCCCGCGCACUCCGGGCGUUCGGGGCCGAGGGCCGCUGGCGCGGGACCCCUGCUGCAUCCAGCCGCGCCCAAGCGGGCGGGCGAACAGGGCUGGGUGCUGGUUCGCAGAACCUGGGGCAGCCGGAGGCCGCGACACUCGCAGUCGUGGUCCCUUCGAGGUUAGGCUCCGCUCCAGCUGAACUCCACC